UACGUAGGGUGCAAGCGUUGUCCGGAAUUAUUGGGCGUAAAGAGCUCGUAGGCGGUCUGUUGCGUCGGCUGUGAAACCCCGAGGCUCAACCUCGGGCCUGCAGCCGAUACGGGCAGACUAGAGUUCGGCAGGGGAGACUGGAAUUCCUGGUGUAGCGGUGAAAUGCGCAGAUAUCAGGAGGAACACCGGUGGCGAAGGCGGGUCUCUGGGCCGAUACUGACGCUGAGGAGCGAAAGCGUGGGGAGCGAACAGG
rnacentral:rRNA from 1 species